rnacentral:rRNA from 1 species
GACGAACGCUGGCGGCGUGCUUAACACAUGCAAGUCGAACGGAAAGGCCCUGCUUUUGUGUGGUGCUCGAGUGGCGAACGGGUGAGUAACACGGGAGUAACCUGCCCUUGACUUUGGGAUAACUUCAGGAAACCGGGGCUAAUACCGGAUAGGAGCUCCUGCUGCAUGGGGGGGGUUGGAAAGUUUCGGCGGAUGGGGAUGGACUCGCGGCUUAUCAGCUUGUGGGGGGGGUAGUGGCUUACCCAGGCUUUGACGGGUGGCCGGCCUGGGAGGGUGACCGGCGACAUGGCGCCUGCGGUACGGACCAGACUCCUACGGUAGGCAGCGGUGGGGAAUAUUACCCAGUGAGCGGAAGCGUGUGGCGACAACGCCGCGAGCGUGAUGACGGCCUUGUGGUUGUAAACCGCUUUCGCCUGUGACGAAGCGGUAGUGACGGUAAUGGGUAAAGAAGCACCGGCUAACUACGUG